rnacentral:rRNA from 1 species
AUUGAACGCUGGCGGCAGGCCUAACACAUGCAAGUCGAGCGGAGCGGCGGACGGGUGAGGAAUGACUAGGAAUCGGCCUGUUAGUUGGCGAUAAUGUCAGGAAACGGGACCUUAUACAGCAUACUAUCAGAUGGGCCUCGGUGGGAUUAGCUAGUUGGUGGGGUAGAGGCAGACCAAGGCGACGAUCCGAACCUGGUCUGAGAGGAUGAUCAGUCACACUGGAACUGAGACACGGUGCAUACUCCUACGGGAGGCAGCAGUGGGGAAUAGUGGGCAAUGGGCGCAAGCCUGAUCCAGCCAUGCCGCGUGUGUGAAGAAGGUCUUCGGAUUGUAAAGCACUUUAAGUUGGGAGGCGUUACCAACAGAAUAAGCACCGGCUAACUUCGUGCCAGCAGCCGCGGUGAUAC